UUGACGUGUGUAGGUUGCUCACCUUGGACACCCCUUGUAUACCCCCAAUAGUUUCCAACAUAUUGUCCACAUUGGAGAUCAUCCCUGGAUAUUCCACACAAACGAGUCUAUUGUCCUCUGAUAAGGAAAGAGUCGCCGAGCUCCCAGGCACCCCACCCACAGUGCCAGUGACAGCACUUGGGUCUGCAGCUGCCAUUUUCCGGUGGUUAAGAGAAAUGGCCUUGUACUUACCAGAAACAGUGCAGUAGCUCAUCCACCAUGGCAGAAGAGGAAGAUCCAGAACGUUGAUUGGGAAACAAGAACAAACAAUGAGGCAUGAGGAUUGGGUGUUGAGGGACCACUUGUCACAUUGUCCAAGUCCAACAGGAGUGCAUCCCUCAGGCUAUCCGUUGCAUGAACCUCCUUUGCCAGUGGGAUCCGAGGGUGAUCGUCCAGUUGCGGAGACUAGAGCACAUCGAGCCUGUGGAUGGACAGGUACAUGCAGGGAUGCCUAGGGCCUUCAGCAAGUAAGACACGGGGUUCAAGGAGACCUGCCAUUCCACUGAACCUGCCACAGAGAAGGUGCUUUAGCCACUGAAGAUCCUCCUCUGUUGGCUCUCAGGACAGAGGGUUGAAGUCUUCGGCUGGGUACAGGUCCUCCACUGACUGCACCUGGUUGGGCACGGCUGGCUUCCUCCACUCACAUUCCACAUCCGUAUGGACGAAAUUGUGAACUGCCAAAAUAGGCUGCAUGGCUACACUUAUGAGCUCCACGGAGGCAUUUCCAUGUGGUAUAGAGAAUCCCCUGGUUACCUAAAGAGACCUGGCAAGAGGAAGGAUGUUAAGUGACAUCUUUCAAUUCAUGACUUUGAACACCUUGAAAUGCAUUUGUUGAAAGAAAUGUGCUAUAUUGAUGACUGACAUUACUGCUAUAGAGGACACGUGCAGUUUUUCAAUAAACUUAAUUGAUAACUUGGGAUUUUAUCACUUGACAUACCAAUCAUAUAGUGGGAAGGAUCCUAUAAAUCAAACCUGUGUGAAUGGAUUUACCAGUCCAAAUAAAUAAAUACUGUGCUUUUGAAGAUUUCUCUCUGGUCAUGAAACUACAAUACAGACUAGAUGUCUAAACAAAGUCAAUUCUGAAUGUCAUUAGAUUUUUAGAUUCAUUCUCAUCAAUGACAACAUUCUAGAACUGUUAUCACUCAAGUCUGGUAUCCGGGGUAAUCUGGUUAAUGAUUAUAUAAUUGAACUCUUGUAGAAUGUUGACAGCUGUAUAGAACGUUUGUAUUGCUAAGAUGCUCAAACUUAACUUAAUAGCUACACUUACCGACACAGAAUAAAUGUUAUCCCUCACGAUGGCCCUGCUCAAACUGGUAAGUUGCCACUAAACUAUAGCUGUACUUAUCCAGAAUCCAAGACUUAUAGUGGUCUUCUCCCCUUUUAAAGCUCUUAUGCUCAUCCUUUUAAAAAAAUUACGGAAGGUCUGAAAUAGACACCAAAGUCGACAUACUUUACAAACAAUUACCUAGGCUAAGUAAUCCCAAAUAAAUUUUUGAUCUGCUGCUCUGCUAACUAGCUAGCUAUAGUGUAGUUAGUGACUAUCUAAGACAGAGAAAGGAGAUGGAAGAUGUUCAACACUUUAUUCACUUCAUUUCAAUGCAGCACAUGGAUUCAUUAUGUAUUUGGCACAGCUCUCUGAUCGCACUGGUGACCGGUAGCUGACAGUGCUGGCUGGAGAUGACAUGCAGGAGCAUCCUGCAGGAAUGUGUGGUCUUGCAGAGGUCUUCUCUGUUGCUAAUUAGCAUUUAACAUAUUUUUCUUUGUAAAUUGGGGCUAAUAUAUUAAUAAA